AAAAAAAGAAAAGAAGAAGGAAAAAGGAUCAUGCCAAAUUAGCUUGAUUAUCGUAUUUAAGCUCAAUUUCUGCAGUACUUUCUUCAUCGUAUUUAUCUGGUUACUUUGACAACUUUUAGGAAUGUUAUAUUUUUACCUCUCAUUUAUUGGCUACUUAUUUCUUUCAAAUCUCAAUUCAAUUUAAAUUAGAGGUUAAGUUUCAAAGUGAAGUCUAUAUAUGAGCAAUUCCAUAACUCACAACAUAAGGUUUG
rnacentral:misc_RNA from 1 species